CAGGUACUCUCUGGGCAGCGUCUCUACUUCCUGGUGAGCCAUUCCUGACGACAUGAGCUCCUUUUCAACCACUCUGGAGGAACUCACUGCACCCCCUUAAACAUAAAGAGUCAGGCUGUCUGCACUUUUCUCAGAUUUGGAAAUAACGCACGGACAGUGGCGGAGGAGGGAAUGCCGGCGUAAAUAAAAACAUGAGGCUUCUCGCCACAGUCUGCAUGUGGUGAGUCGGGCUCAUUACACAAACACAAUCACACACAUAAUGUCACAGAAAGAAAAAGUCA